rnacentral:rRNA from 1 species
UACGAAGGGGGCGAGCGUUGUUCGGAAUUACUGGGCGUAAAGCGCACGUAGGCGGAUGUUUAAGUUAGGGGUGAAAUCCCAGGGCUCAACCCUGGAACUGCCUCUAAUACUGGGCAUCUAGAGUCCGAGAGAGGUGAGUGGAAUUCCGAGUGUAGAGGUGAAAUUCGUAGAUAUUCGGAGGAACACCAGUGGCGAAGGCGGCUCACUGGCUCGGUACUGACGCUGAGGUGCGAAAGCGUGGGGAGCAAACAGG